rnacentral:rRNA from 1 species
GAUGAACGCUGGCGGCGUGCCUAAUACAUGCAAGUCGAGCGAACGGACGAGAAGCUUGCUUCUCUGAUGUUAGCGGCGGACGGGUGAGUAACACGUGGAUAACCUACCUAUAAGACUGGGAUAACUUCGGGAAACCGGAGCUAAUACCGGAUAAUAUUUUGAACCGCAUGGUUCAAAAGUGAAAGACGGUCUUGCUGUCACUUAUAGAUGGAUCCGCCCUGCAUUAGCUAGUUGGUAAGGUAACGGCUUACCAAGGCAACGAUGCAUACCCGACCUGAGAGGGUGAUCGGCCACACUGGAACUGAGACACGGUCCAGACUCCUACGGGAGGCAGCAGUAGGGAAUCUUCCGCAAUGGGCGAAAGCCUGACGGAGCAACGCCGCGUGAGUGAUGAAGGUCUUCGGAUCGUAAAACUCUGUUAUUAGGGAAGAACAUAUGUGUAAGUAACUGUGCACAUCUUGACGGUACCUAAUCAGAAAGCCACGGCUAACUACGUG